AGGAGGUGGACCGCCAGGGACGUUACUUCCUAGUGUCGCUCCUGGGUUUUUUUGUCCCGUCGUGGACUUGUCUUAGAGGUACUGGUCCAUUUUUCCGGCCGCACCUCGUCCCUUCAUCCUGUUCUCUACAGACUUCCCCGGCUACAGAUGCCAAAGUACCUUCACCCGCUUCCUGUUUUUCCAGACAUGACUGAUUUUCUCUCCUGCAAGAACAACGUGCCUACACCAGACUCUCUAACUGUGGUCUACUUGUGUAACCACAGAGCAAGAUAUAGGACCAGUGAUGAGGGGACCGUGAGGAGAGGAAUCGUCUAGUCUCAGGAGGGUUUCCUUUUUGGUGUUCAGUCAGUUGUCACCGAUCAGGGAGAACAUAUGGUAUUUGUCCCUUUGGGACUGGCUUAUUUCACUCAGCAUGAUGUAUUCCAGAUUCCUCCAUUUUGUUGCAAAUGACUGGAUUUCAUUGUUUCUUACUGCGGUAUAGUAUUCUAAAGAGUACAUAUCCCAUAAUUUCUUUAUUGCAGAGGUAAGUAAGGCAGCAAUGGAUCAGGCAAAGUAAGUUUGCUGCCCCCUAAAGCCCCAGAUAGUAACUUUUAGAUGUUGGUGACUUGUUCCACCCUACAAUCAGGUUACAUAGCUAGUUGGCCAUUCUGUGCAACAAGAGGACCAGUGUACUCACAAAGGAGCAGAUGGCAACACUGCCAUCCUAAGUUACACUAGAGGCUUUCAUUUGACCGCCUUCCAAGUAGCAGGAACCAUGAGAGGAAGCAGACUGUGGCCUUCUCCUUGCUUGUAGAUUGGACUGGCAUGAAGAAACUAGGAAAAUAUACAGACAAGCUCAGCCAAGGCCUAAGUGGACUGCCGAACAUUGGUAGAAGCAAAAAUGUGAGGAAGAGCAGAUUAGGCUAAGGCCGGAGUGACAAAGCCUCAGGUGAACACAGGAGGGUCCAGGGGGAGGAAGAGGCAGAUGACAGACAGUAGCUCCUGUCCUAGGUGGUUUUCCUGGAUUAAUACUGGAGACAAUGUGGCCUCUAAUCACAAAGACUCAGUUGUAGCCCAUAAACUUCCUCUAGCAGUUCAAGGGCUGGAAUAUCGGUGAUCUUACAAGAGGCAGCCCUUAGAGUAUCAUGAGUCUCAAAUUGGCCAGAUUUUGAGGGAAAAUAUAAUCUCAUUUUGAAGGAUAGACUUCUUCCCAAAGGGAAAGAAAAAACUCUGUUAUUGUACAUCAUGAUAAUUCAAACUGUAACUUUGUUCUCAUUUAAAUUAAAAGACAAACUAUAACACUUUGACAUUUGUAUUAUACACACCUCAGGCUCAGUGCAUUGGGAACAUUUUAUAGGAAGUUAACAUUAGGGUUUUCAAGUAUUUUCCUAGUUGCUGGGUAUUAGAAAUUUUAGCUAUAUGUGAAAAUUUCAACAGUUUUUGCUGUCUUUUUUUUUUUGACAGGCAGAGUGGACAGUGAGAGAGAGACAGAGAGAAAGGUCUUCCUUUUGCUGUUGGUUCACCCUCCAAUGGCCGCCGCGGCCGGCGCGCUGCGGCCGGUGCACUGCGCUGAUCCGAUGGCAGGAGCCAGGUACUUAUCCUGGUCUCCCAUGGGGUGCAGGGUCCAAGUACUUGGGCCAUCCUCCACUGCACUCCAGGGCCACAGCAGAGAGAUGGCCUGGAAGUUUUUAAAACAGGAAUGGUUUAGACAAGAAUGAAAGCUCCUAAAUUUUUAAAUCUAAUGCUAGUUUGACUUUUCUGCUUCACUUAUGGGAUAAAGAAGAAACUGGUAUCUGUAACUUCAGAAUGAGGGGAAGAAUGUCUCAUCAGAGGAAAAUGUUGCUCAUUUAAAUACAGAUAUAUUUUGUCUUUGAAUCUUGACUUUGUUUCACUUCUUUGUUCUUGGUAAAAGGGCCAAGAACCCACCAAUAGAUAUGAGGUACAUAGAGACAGAAACCCCUGGGGCAUGUUACAGUAGGAUUACCUCCAUCUUCACUCAUGGUGGCCCAUAUACAGAAAUGCAGAACAGGUGCAGAGCAUUGAUAUUCUGCCUUGCCAUCAAAAGUAAUAUGUUUGUAAAUGCUACAUAUAAUCUUGGUUGCAUCACCUAAGGUACUAAUGAAAUACUGCACAUAGUUUCUAUGUUGAGAAGGAAGAGGUCCAUUUUUAUUUCAUACGUGUGCAUACAUAUUUGCACACAUAUGCCAGAGUCAUUUCUCUAAUGGAAUUCACAGUAAAAUAUGCUCACUAGGAGCAUAUCUGAUACCAAGGUUUGCUCACCCAGCAGUGUGGUAGGUAGUACCCAGAAGAAUGAUUGGAUAUUUCUGAAUGGCCAGUGUAGUUAGUUCAUGUGUGUGCAUUUGAGGCCCAGUGAUACCAUUUUUUUUUGACAGGCAGAGUGGACAGUGAGAGAGAGAGAGAGACAGAAAGGUCUUCCUUUUGCCUUUGGUUCACCCUCCAAUGGCCGCUGUGGCUGGCGUGCUGUGGCCAGCGCACCGUGCUGAUCCAAUGGCAGGAGCCAGGUACUUAUCCUGGUCUCCCAUGGGGUGCAGGGCCCAAGCACUUGGGCCAUCCUCCACUGCACUCCCUGGCCACAGCAGAGAGCUGGCCUGGAAGAGGGGCAACCGGGACAGAAUCCAGCACCCUGACCGGGACUAGAACCCGGUGUGCCGGCACCGCAAGGUGAAGGAUUAGCCUAGUGAGCCGCAGCACCGGCCAGUGAUAUAAUUUAAACAAUGCUUUAAACAAAGAUACUGGAAGAUUGUUCUUGGUAUUCAGUUGUUAACUUGAAAAAUGUGCCCAUGAGAAUUACACUGCAGUUUGUCAUCAUGGGCAUUUCAGCUGUGAGGACAGCAAAAAUAUGGGCUUAUUGAUUUGCACAGAAACAUCUCACUUGAUGAUCUAGUGUAAAUUUUACAAUAUAUUGAACCUUUAAGUUUCAUCACCAGGUUGUUAUCUCUAAAAUGACCUUUGUGCUCCUACAGGUCUGUUUCUAUAAACAGAGGAACCACAUAUCUUAAUAUUUUCACUUCCUUACAACUUCACCAAGAAGGAGACAGCAGGCACUUUGCAUGUCCCAUUGGUCUCCAAAGUAUGUACUGGCAGUCUUCCCUUUCCAAGUAGUGCAGACACAGAGGGAGAGGCAGCGAGGUCUAACAUCUGCUGGUUCACUCUCCAAAUGGCCCCAACAGCCACAGCUGUGCCAGUCUGAAGCCAGGAGCCAGAAAUUUCUUCUGAGUCUCUCAUGUGGGUGCAGGACCCCAAGCACUUGAGCCAUCUCCACUGCAUUCCCAAGCCAUCAUCAGAGGGCUGGGUCAGAAGUGGAGUAGCCAGGACUCAAACCAGCAGCCAUAUAGGUUGCUGGCACUAUAGGCAGAGGCUUAACAUACUAUGCCACAGCUCCAGCCCCUGAUGAGUUAUUUUUUAGAAACAGCUUUAUAUAGUGAUUAGAACUGCAGUAUCAACUUGGGCAAAUAUUACAGGUAUCCUUAAAAAGUAGAGUUUAAAUAAGCACAUCACUUAUGUAUGUCUUUUACAUGAUCUGUACCUACUGAUUAGUAUGCUUGUGUUUCUGGGGUCUUUUCCAACAAGUCUUCCCUAUAUCAAUGUCUUGAGAUUUUCUCCAGUGUUCUCCUCUUAAUUUGAUGGCAUCAGGGCAUAGAUUGAGAUCUUUGAUGCUUUUUUGAGUUGAUUUUUGUGCAAGGUGUAAGGUAGAGUAUAAAAGGUUCUAUAGUUAUUCAUUAGGUCCAUUUGGUCUGUUGUGUCAAUUAACUCUGCUGUAUCCUUGUUGAUUUUCUGUCUAGUUCAUCUUCCAUUGCUGAAAGUGGGGGUAUGGAGGUUCCCUGUUAUUAUUGGAUUCUAUGUCUCCCUUUAGAUCCACUAACAUUUCUUUCAAAUAACCAGGUGCUCUGUAAUUGGUUGCAUAUACAUUUAUUAUAGUUACCUCUUCCUGUUGAAAUGAUCCCUUAAUCAUUACAUAGUGCCCUUCUUUGUUUCUUUGAACAGUUUUUGUGUUAAAGUCUAUUUUGUCUGAUAUUAGGAUGGUUACACCGGCCCUGUUUUGUUAUUCAUUCACAUAGAUUUUUUCCAUCCUUUCACUUUUAGUCUAUGUAUAUUUAUUGGUGAGGUGUCUUUUAUGAGCAGCAAAUAGAUGAGCCUUGUAUUUUAAUCCAUUCAGCCAGUGUGUAUCUUUUAAUUGGGGAUUGAUUAAAUGUCAGGCAUUUACAUUCAAGGUUACUAUUAAGAUUUGAGAACUGCCCUGCCAUUUUUCUGUAAAUAUUGCUAUUGUUUGCUUUGGAUUUUCUUUGUGCUUUUCCUGGAAGAUUUUCUGCCUUCACAUUUGUUCAUGAUGAUGGCUGUCUUCCUGUGUUUCUGUUUGUGGCACAUCCUUAAGCAUCAUUUUGUAAGGCUGGAAUAAUGGUGACAAAUUCUUUCAAUUUCUGUUUUUUAUGGAAGGCCUUUAUUUUAUCCUGAUUCUUAAAUGGGAGCUUUACAGUGUACAGUAUUCUGGGUUGACAAGUUUUUAUUCUUUAAGACUUGGAUUGUGUCUCUCCAUUCUCUCCUAGCCAGUAGGGUUUCUGAUGAGAUGUCAGUUGUGAGUCUCAUUGGAGAUCCUCUGAAAGUAAUCUGAGAUUUCUUUCUUGCACAUUUUGGGAUCUUUCCUUUAGGUUUUACUCUUGAAAGUUUUACUACAGUGUGUUGUGGUGAAAAUCUUUUCUAGUCAUGUCUAAUAGGAGUAGUAUGUGCUUCGUAUACUUGGACAUCUCUUUCUUUCUCCAAAUUGGGAAAGUUUUCUGUAAUUACUUCACCGAAUAAGCCUUUUAAUCCAUUCUCUCUUUCCACACCCUCAGGAUCUUCUAAGAUUUGUAUGUUGGGUCAUUUGAUGAUAUCCCAUCAUUCUCCAAGACUUUUUGUUUUUCUAAUUUCUUUUGUCUCUUUUGUCAGUCUGAGAAAUUUCCAAUUAUUUGUCUUCUAGCUUGGAUAGUCUUUGCCUCACCAAGUCUGUUGAUCAGGCUAUACACUGUAUUUUUUUAUUUGACACAUUGACUUCUUCAUUUCUAAUAUUUCAGUUUGAUCUCUCUUCAAAAUCUCAAUAUCAUGGGAGAUUUUUUUCUUCUGUGUCAUGUAUGGAUUCCUUUAACUCAUGAGUUUGCUUCUCAUUGCUUCUGAUUAAUUCUGUGAUUAAUCUUUUGAAUUUAAUUGUCAGGCAUCUCAUGAGUCUCUUUGUCUUCACGUUCUAAUAUUGAAGUGCUGUUGUGUUCCUUUGGGGGAAUCAAGUUGUGUUUAUUCUUGUUCCUUGAGUUCCUGCAUAUGUUUUGAGGCACCUGUGGAAUUACACAGUUUUCUCUUCUGAUGGAUUUUGUCUUUAAACAAUGCCUCUGUGGCCUAGUUGAGUGUCUGGUCCUUCAGUAAAUACCUAGUGGCAUAUUUUGGGUGGGGUUAGAAAACUCUCAGUGCACAAAGGAUGGCAAGAGUUCAGUGGAGUGCAGUAGAUCUCAUCUUUUCAGCAGGAAGGAGGGUAUGAUCACCCCUGUUGGCGUAAUCAUAUCCUCACCUCCUCUCUUCCAAGGUGGUCAUGCCCCGGGAUAGCCCAGUGGGUGCAAUACUCGCCUGCAUGGCCACAUGAACUACAUAAAGGAUCUGUGCAGUCCUCAUGUGAACACGAACCCCACUCCCAGUCAGGGAGCUCUGAGCCCUUGGCACCAAACUCAGUGAUUGCCCAGAGACCCAGUUAUAGUCUGUGCCCUAUAACAUGUAGUCACAUGUCUCCCACACAGUCUCUGCACACAAGUCUCCCAUGAUCACGGGUGCAGAGGGUCCACUCCACCCUGCUAGCCUGUCCUGUGCAUGGAGUGGAAGGGAUACUCCCAGAGCCAGCAGCCUGUGGGUGCUCCAGCUUGGCACUUCGAGCCCUGACCUGUAGGUUGAGAGUCUGGGGACACCUCACAGUCCCACGUGAGUUCGCAGCCCCCUAUCUGUCCUCCCAGCUAGACUGAAAGUCAAUGCAAAUAUGGAUUUUUCCAUCAGGUAAAAUCCCUGGAUCACAUGUAUGUACAAGAGCCAACACAGCCAUUACUCCUUUGAAAAUGGCAUCUUCUCCCUGCGUGUUGCUUGGCACACACAAGAACCACAACAGCCACAGCUGAUUUCAGAAUAGUGGCUUAUCCCCAUCCAUUGCUGGGUGAGUGCACCCAAGCUGCCACAGCCACUACUUCUGUCAACAUGGUGCCCACACCCAAGCUGGUUGCAGGCGCCACUGUUGGGGUUGUGGGGAGAGAAAUGCACCCAUUGUUGCUGUGUUAGGUGGGCACACUGUCCCUCUUUGAGCUCCAAGCCACAUUCACACCAGGCUGUCCCUCCAGUUGUAUCGCCUAUGGUACAGGUUCCCGCAGUCUGCUCUCAUCCCACUCUGCAAAGCUAUGACUUCCUCCAGCUCUUAGCAGCAGGAGUUGUGUGUUGGGUGCAUCUGCACCUUCCACAUGGAUCCAUGGCAUGCCUCUUCCUUCUGUAGAAUUUCCCCUGCAGAUUUCUCUCCAACUCUUCUCCUGGGAAUGCCCUUUCUCCACUUUUUUGCUAUUGUUUUCUCCUAGCCUAAAGCAGUAUGUCCUUUCCCUAUUCCACCAUCUUAAAGAUCUCAAAUAAUUGAGUAAUUUUUUUUAGAAAAACCACGAUGAGAGUUCAUGUUAUUCCAAUUGGAAUGAUUAUUAUCAAAACCACAAUAAGCAUGGGAAUAGCAGAGGAGGAGGAAGGGUGGGGUGCAGGUGGGAAGGAUCACUGUUUCCCAAUUUGUGUAUAUGAAAUGCAUGUAGUGUGUAUACUUCAGUCCUUCUGGUCACGGGAGCUGCCUGGCUCAUGCUGGAUGGGGGAUGUCUCCUUGCUGGCACCUGACAGUGUGGCUCUGGUGUCCAGGAGGACAAGGGUGACCCAGCCCCUGAUCUGAGGUCCCCUUUCAUGCCACAAAGCUUGUCCCUGAGGAGCUCCAUCAGCAAGAUCAUCUUGGAGACAGGCAGCGAGACCCUGGGGGAUGAGUGGCAGUCUGUCUCAGUCAGAGAUCACCUCUACUUGCUACUCCAUCAUGGAGUCACUGUCCAGGAGGGACAGCCCAUCCCAGAGAGUAGAGACCUCAAGGGAACCUAAAGGUCGAUGCUGGGCAAGAGCCUGGGAGGCUGUCAGAGAAGACGCUGCACCUGUCCAUGCUCAGGAAGCAGCAGGAGAACCUACAGAAGAAGGCUGACAGGGCUGCCCUGGAGGAGGAGGUGCAGAGACAGAGGCACCACCAUCAGAGGCUGCAGGCUGAGUCAGAGAGCACAGCAACUGCCUGCUCCUGGCCGCCAAGCAGCCAGGCUCCCCCAUGACCAAGUGGCCGGAGGCAGCCAUGGACCUGCAUGGGCCUCGCCAGCCCUGGGCCCUCCUCAGGAAUCACUCUCUGUGCUGAACUGCAUCUCAGCAGCGCUCCCACUCCCUGGCCUCUUGUUUGGUGGCAAAGUUGCUGCACUCAUCCCAGUUUGUAAAUAUUCUGUGUAGAAGAGGGAACUUCAGGGAGUAAAGGAAGCCACUGCCAAACACACACACACACACACACACACCACCACCACCACCACCACCACCACCAGAGGUCAACCAACAUGGGGUUACCCAUCUCGGGUAGUGGACUCAACAGUGCACACACACUCAGGUGCGUGUGCCAAGUAUGCCUAGAAACUAAUGUGUACCUUCCUACCACUUAUGGCACUAGGUUUCUGGGCCCCAAGAAGAGGAAAUACAGAGACACUAGGGCUGCAAAUUAUGCUGCAGAAAAGUUGUGCUCUGAGCAUUUCAGGCAUGGGAAGCCAAGACACUGUGGCAAAAAAUGAGAUACAUGAAGGAUCCCUGUGAGGGAGAUCCCAGUGGAAAGAAGGGGCCAUCAAAGAAGGAGGUACCUUUCCCUGAUGGGAGGAGAGAACUUCCACUUUGAUUAUGGCCUUGUCUAACUAAGGUCAGACUUUGAGAACUCAAGAGGUUUCCAUUGCCUUGGCAGCUCAUGACAAGAGCCUCAGGUGAUCACUGACAUCAUAAAUAAGAGUGCCAAAUGUUCAUUCAAAAGCAGGAGUCCCUGUGCACUUACUCCCCAUGAAGGACCUCUGUCCUUAAUGAGUUGUGCUAUGAGAAUUAACUGUAAAUGUAAUUCAAACAGGUCUUUAUACUUUGUGUGUCUGUGUGGAUGCAAACUGUUGAAAUCUUUACUUAGUAUAGAAUUGAUCUGGUGUCUCAGCUACCACCUGACUCUGCUGGCUUUCAUAGACUUGUCUUUUCCAA